CCUACGGGGGGCAGCAGUGAGGAAUAUUGGUCAAUGGGCGCAAGCCUGAACCAGCCAUGCCGCGUGCAGGAUGACGGUCCUAUGGAUUGUAAACUGCUUUUGCACAGGAAGAAACACUACCUCGUGAGGUAGCUUGACGGUACUGUGAGAAUAAGGAUCGGCUAACUCCGUGCCAGCAGCCGCGGUAAUACGGAGGAUCCAAGCGUUAUCCGGAAUCAUUGGGUUUAAAGGGUCCGUAGGCGGUCUAAUAAGUCAGUGGUGAAAGCCCUACGCUCAACGUAGGAACGGCCAUUGAUACUGUUAGACUUGAAUUACUUGGAAGUAACUAGAAUAUGUAGUGUAGCGGUGAAAUGCUUAGAGAUUACAUGGAAUACCAAUUGCGAAGGCAGGUUACUACAAGUGGAUUGACGCUGAUGGACGAAAGCGUGGGUAGCGAACAGGAUUAGAUACCCGAGUAGUC
rnacentral:rRNA from 1 species